GUAGCUCAGUUGGUAGAGCAGCGGACUGAAAAUCCGCGUGUCGGUGGUUCGAUUCCGCCC
rnacentral:tRNA from 1 species